rnacentral:sRNA from 1 species
UGGCCGGUAACGCCGAGUCCUGCCGCCGGUCGCGGAUCUACGAAUCAAGGCAUGGAGCGGGGGACCCAAGAGUUCCUCGGCGCUACGGCGCCUCGGGGUGAAGCCGUGGUAAGCGGCCGGGCACCUCUGCCCGAACCCGACAGCUGACCUCGCAGGCGUGGAGGACAA